rnacentral:piRNA from 1 species
UUGAAGUUGCAUUUCAAAAAAUUUCUA